UCAAAAAGUUUGCUUUUGCUUUUUUAUUUUAAAAAUUAAAAUUUAAUAAAACAAAGAGAAAGAAACAAACAAAAAAAUUCGUAGAAUUGUUCCUGGUUUGUCGAUUGUCAUGUUCCUCUAGCUGUGUUAGGUUCCAUUCCAAACUACCACCAGGAAUUCUACCACAUGGUUUGCCCAUUGUAAAGGAAGUUGCAUCAGCCAUAACACCACUUGAACACAAAAAAGAAGGGCUCUAUCUGAGAAUGUCGACAUCUACACAGACUACAUUGGAGGUGGUGAUAAUGAAGAGUCAAACGAUGGGAGGACAAAUGCUAGGUUGUCGUUGAAUCGAGCUUUCUACGAAGACCCAUAGUCUAAGAAUCGAUGCAUCACUUCAAUGGAUUGGUCAACACAUUUUCCUGAACUGGUUGUUGCUUCAUAUCACAAAAAUGAGGAGAGUCCCAAUGAACCAGAUGGUGUUGUGGUGUUGUAAUGGUCUGGAACACAAAAUAUAAAAAACAAGCACCCGAAGAUGUAUUCCAUUGUCAGAGUGCCGUUAUGUCAACAUGCUUUACUAAAUUCAAUUCAAUGAAAUCUUAUACUCGGUGGAACGUUUUCCGGUCAGAUUGUGCUUUGGGAUAAUCGAGUGCAAAAGCGCACCCCCAUCCAGAGGACACCACAAGAUACGAACCCAGUGUACUGUUUGCAAAUGGUUGGCACACACAAUGUGAUAUCGAUCUCAUCCGAUGGCAAGCUUUGCUCUUGGAGUUUGGAUAUGUUGUCGAUGCCGCAAGAUACACUGGAAUUGCAGCAACGGCAAUCGAAGCCAAUUGCUAUCACUUGCAUGUUCUUUUCAUCGAAUGAGAUUAACAAUCUAGCAAUGGCAAUGUUUAUUCUGCUUAUCGACAUGGAAUACGUUCGGGUGUGUCUGAAGUCUAUGAGAAGCAUUUUGCGUCCAGUGACGGGAAUAUCAACUCAUCUAAAUCAAUCUACACCAGAUUUUGGUGAUUUGUUCCUUACAUCGUCCAUUGAUUGGACAAUUAAGUUAUGGAAUCUUAAGGUGAAUUAUGUUCAGUAAGCUCAAAAAUCAUAUUGGUUAAAAUGCAAAGCGCUCCUUUUUAUUGUUUUCACAAGAACCAAGCCACUCGUUCUUUAAGCCUACUUCAUCCCACAACAGCUCCCUGGCCCUGUAUAAACAAAAACAUUUUCCAGUCAUCAAGACGUUUAUUUAAGAUAAGAUGGAGGUUUAUGUCUAUUAAUCCAUCUACUUCUGCUUUGCUGCAUUAUGUUUAAUUGGAUAAAAAAGCUACUAUUGAAAUCGACAAUCUGGAGAAUCGAAGUCAAAUCAAUUCAGGAAUGCUGUGAUUAAUAACCAGGCUAAUCAUAAUUUGCAUAAUGAAGAACUCUUGUCUAGAGGAUCUAUACGCAUGUGGCACAAUGAGUUGAAUGAGAUAAAAUUUAUUAAUUUUGUUUUGUUUUUAAUUGAACCAAUAUUGUUUUAACUUUUUGAUUGUAUAUUAAAUAUUUAUGCAAAGUGAAACGAAUUUGUUUAACAACAGUUGGAAUAUAAAGUAAAAUUUGUUCAAUUGUACUUAAUCUAUUGAAUCAUCUCUCAUAUAGACUCAAUUUACUUAUUAUGUUUUAACAGUAAUUUUUUUCAAUCAAGCCUUACACCCAAACUUAU